GGAAACGGCUACGGGUAUCCUUUCGCUGCGAUGCCGUCUCUCGCCGCGCACUCGCCGGGCGAUCGUCAGACGAGCGAGUAGGGAUGGCAGAGGACCAGCAGGGGUUGAGAUUACACCGUUUGAACCUGAUCAGCGCUCAGACCUGCGUAGGGAAGCCCCCAGUGUCGCCC
rnacentral:ncRNA from 1 species